rnacentral:lncRNA from 1 species
AAACUAAAUAAAUCAUGAAAUUCUUAGAUCGUGUCAUGCUUUGCGAAGUCGUUACAACUUCCAUCUCUGAGGUUAGAUACAGAUUUUCAACUACCUAAGUUGAAUGACCAGAUCAGAUACAAAUACGACAAUUUACUCAAGCCUAUUUCCCACUGGCCAAACCAUAGUACGAUAUAUGACCACGAUCGUACUAGCCAUAGUGGUCCUAACAGAUAUCUACAGUCACAGCAUCACUUAGUCACGGGUGACCCUUACAGAUAGUGUAACACCACUCUUGUUAGAAGGUACGUUGUUAUCCAAUAUGAGCAGUCCUCUUACGUCUUUUCAAACUAG